rnacentral:misc_RNA from 1 species
AAGUCGUAACAAGGUUUCCGUAGGUGAACCUGCGGAAGGAUCAUUACCGAGUUAGGGUCUUCUGGCCCCACCUCCAACCCCAUGUGUAUGAUGCAUGUUGCUUCGGCGGUGCCAUGUGCCCGUCGGAGACAGUUAAAGCCAACUUCAGUUUGUGUUGUCUGAGUAAAUAUAUCUAAAUCGUUAAAACUUUCAACAACGGAUCUCUUGGUUCCC